UACGAGGGGGGCAAGCGUUGUUCGGAAUUAUUGGGCGUAAAGGGUGCGUAGGCGGUUUGGUAAGUCUUAUGUGAAAUCUACAGGCUCAACUUGUAGUCUGCAUGAGAAACUGCCGGGCUUGAGUAUGGGAGAGGUGAGUGGAAUUCCUGGUGUAGCGGUGAAAUGCGUAGAUAUCCGGAGGAACACCAAUGGCGAAGGCAGUGUCCUGGGAAGUACCUGACGCUCAGGUGCGAAAGCUAGGGGAGCGAACAGG
rnacentral:rRNA from 1 species